rnacentral:lncRNA from 1 species
AUCUCAAUUCAUUUAAAAGUAGAAGCACUAGUGAUUGUCAGUAAAGUCACAGACUCCUCAGCAGUGUCUCCUGGAGACAGAGCAGAAUUCCACUAUUUUACCCUGAAUUGCUUCACUGCUCUAAGUGUCAGUCUUUCAGAAUAAUUCACCAAGUUUGCACCUGGAAGGAGGAGGGAAGGAAAAGUCCUGUUGUACAGUCAGAAUAUAGGCAGGGCCUCUCUUGGAGGAGCCAUCCAUGGAUGGUGAUGAAAGCUCUGCUUUCAGAAACCUUGGGCAGCUUUUUGGGGAGGUUUUUGUAAAGAGAAUUCAUUUAGGAGCCCAGAAAUGGGCUGAGUGACAGAGUUUCCCAAAUUCCUGGCUCCCUGUGGAAGGAGAAAUGGAGUCUCCCAUUACCACAAACAUCUGGAGUCUGUGACAAAGGGAGGUGUUUGCACACAGAGGUGGCAAAAAGGAAAGAAGUGAAAAAUCAGAAUGAAAUGGACAUUUUGAAGAAGCAGUUUUCAGGGUGAGAAAUGAACUGUGUGUGUGGAUAGAGAGAAAGAUGUUCUCUCUUCACAUCCACCUUGGGUACUCACCCAAAAAGCACAAAACAGACCAAAAGAAGCUCCUUACCAGUGAAGAAAAUGCUGAUUUAAAGCCUGAUUUUGCUGAGUCCUGCCAGCAGCAGGGAUCUCACAAAAGAGGAUUGAACUGAGGAAUGGUCAGAUGCCACUGAGUGGCUGCAGCUCGUGUCUCAUCACAUGAGCCACUGUGGCACAGGGUGCUCACCAUCCCUUAAAAAACCUUCCUAAACAUCACUGAAACUUCCUGGAUUUAAUUUCCAGAGCCUCAGAGCAGAAAACAGCCACAAAUUAAAUCUUGGGGAUAUUCAACAGCAGUUGCUUCAGUCAGAGCUCCUCAGUAGGAGAAAGAGUCAGGGGAAGGAUUUUUUUUAUUUAAGAGCUCCAGGGUGGAUCUCACUCAGUGGCAGAGGUAAGAAUUUCUUUUUGAGGAGCUCCAGGGUGGAUCUCACUCAGUGGCAGGGUAAGAAUUUCUUUUUGAGGAGCUCCAGGGUGGAUCUCACUCAGUGGCAGGGUAAGAAUUUCUUUUUGAGGAGCUCCAGGUGGAUCCCACUCAGUGUCAGGGUAAGAAU